UAGGGAAUCUUUGGCAAUGGGGGGAACCCUGACCGAGCAACGCCGCGUGAGUGAAGAAGGUUUUCGGAUCGUAAAGCUCUGUUGUUAAGGAAGAACGAGUGUGAGAAUGGAAAGUUCAUGCUGUGACGGUACUUAACCAGAAAGGGACGGCUAACUACGUGCCAGCAGCCGCGGUAAUACGUAGGUCCCGAGCGUUGUCCGGAAUCAUUGGGCGUAAAGGGUACGUAGGCGGGUAAGCAAGUUAGAAGUGAAAUCCUGUAGCUCAACUACAGUAAGCUUUUAAAACUGCUCAUCUUGAGAUAUGGAAGGGAAAGUGGAAUUCCUAGUGUAGCGGUGAAAUGCGCAGAUAUUAGGAAGAAUACCGGUGGCGAAGGCGACUUUCUGGCCAUAAUCUGACGCUGAGGUACGAAAGCGUGGGUAGCAAACAGG
rnacentral:rRNA from 1 species